UACGGAAGGCAGCAGUGGGGAAUAUUGCACAAUGGGCGCAAGCCUGAUGCAGCCAUGCCGCGUGUAUGAAAAAGGCCUUCGGGUUGUAAAGUACUUUCAGUCGUGAGGAAGGUGUUAAGGUUAAUAACCUUAGCAAUUGACGUUAGCGACAGAAGAAGCACCGGCUAACUCCGUGCCAGCAGCCGCGGUAAUACGGAGGGUGCGAGCGUUAAUCGGAAUUACUGGGCGUAAAGGGCACGCAGGCGGUUAAUUAAGUUGGAUGUGAAAUCCCCGGGCUUAACCUGGGAAUGGCAUUCAAGACUGGUUAGCUAGAGUCUUGUAGAGGGGGUUAGAAUUCCAUGUGUAGCGGUGAAAUGCGUAGAGAUGUGGAGGAAUACCGGUGGCGAAGGCGGCCCCUGGACAAAGACUGACGCUCAUGUGCGAAAGCGUGGGGAGCAAACAGGGAUUAGAAU
rnacentral:rRNA from 1 species